AGCACAAGAACAGAGUAAAAGAGCGACCGAGUUGAGCCAGCGUGCCCAGGACCUCCUGUCGGAUGUCUCUAACCGGUCCUCGGCCACUACUGGGUUCAUGCGAGUCUCGUGGAAGCCAUCAACAAAUGUCUCCAACGAAGCCAGGAAGAUGGAAAACAGACAGGACAAUUUUAAAACAAAUUCAUGUAAAGCUUACGUUGUGGAUAAUUGCAAAUUAAACAAGUCUAAUGAGGGUUACGGUCAGCCAUUACUCAAAACAACAAACAAGAGACUGAUGAUCAACCCGUACCCUACUCCCUCUUAUACCCGUACCCGUAGCA